AUCCGGCUGAUGAGUCCUAAAUAGGACGAGACGUGCAUCCUGGAU
rnacentral:hammerhead_ribozyme from 1 species